AGGACGAACGCUGGCGGCGUGCUUAACACAUGCAAGUCGAACGGUGAACCGGGCUUCGGCCUGGGGAUCAGUGGCGAACGGGUGCGUAACACGUGGGCAACCUGCCCCAGACACAGGGAUAACCCCGGGAAACCGGGGCUAAUACCGGAUACUCCGGUCGAGCCGCAUGACUCGAUCGGGAAAGCUCCGACGGUCUGGGAUGGGCCCGCGGCCUAUCAGCUUGUUGGUGGGGUAACGGCCUACCAAGGCGACGACGGGUAGCUGGUCUGAGAGGACGACCAGCCACACUGGAACUGAGAUACGGUCCAGACUCCUACGGGAGGCAGCAGUGGGGAAUCUUGCACAAUGGGCGAAAGCCUGAUGCAGCGACGCCGCGGUGGGGGAUGAAUGCCUUCGGGUUGUAAACCCUUUCGGCAGGAAGAAGCGCAAGUGACGGUACCUGCAGAAGAAGCUCCGGACUAACGUACGUCGCCGAGCAGCCGC
rnacentral:rRNA from 1 species